rfam:TPA: Bos taurus chromosome 3, whole genome shotgun sequence.
UGGGGUGUAGCUCAGUAGUAGAGCUUGUGCUUAGCAUGCACGAGGUCCUGGGUUCAAGUCCCAGCUCCUCCA